AUGCUGCCCAGCUUCCUCAGAUGCUUUCCCAACGUCGAGAGGCUGCAUCUUGAGUCCAACGAAACUGAGGAGCCCACCGGCAAGCUCAGCAACAAGUUCUGGCAGGAGGUCGGCGCUAUCGAAUGCAUGCAGUCGCACAUGAAGCUGAUGGUCUUCUACGGCUUCCGAGGGGAGCGGGGCGAGCUUUCCUUCCUCAAGUUCGUCCUGGAGAGCGCACGGAUCCUGACGAAGCUGGUGAUCGUGUUCACCAAGGGGAGCUUCAGCUCAAUGGCAGAGGCCAGCUCCAAGGUGAAACCUCUUUGCUGCAAAAUGGGCUAA
rnacentral:rRNA from 1 species